AGUUGCCAUCGGGCGAGCCGGGCACUCUGGAGGGACUGCCGGCGACAAGCCGGAGGAAGGUGGGGAUGACGGUCAAGUCAUCAUGGCCCUUAUGUCCAGGGCGACACACGUGCUACAAUGGCCGGCACAGCGGGAAGCGGAGGGCGACCUGAGCGGAUCCCUUGAAAAGCCGGUCCCAGUUCGGAUUGCAGUCUGCAACUCGACUGCAUGAAGUUGGAAUCGCUAGUAAUCGCGGAUCAGCCAAGCCGCGGUGAAUACGUUCCCGGGCCUU
rnacentral:rRNA from 1 species